rnacentral:tRNA from 1 species
GAGUUGUAGCCCAGUGGUAGAGGGCUUGCCUUGUAUGUGUGAGGCACUGCGUUCGAUUCCAGAAGCUCA